UACGUAGGGCGCGAGCGUUGUCCGGAUUUAUUGGGCGUAAAGAGCUCGUAGGCGGCUUGUCGCGUCGACUGUGAAAACCCGCGGCUCAACUGCGGGCUUGCAGUCGAUACGGGCAGGCUAGAGUGCGGUAGAGGUCUCGGGAAUUCCAGGUGUAGCGGUGAAAUGCGUAGAUAUCUGGAGGAACACCGGUGGCGAAAGCGCGAGACUGGGCCGUAACUGACGCUGAGGAACGAAAGCCAGGGGAGCGAAAGGG
rnacentral:rRNA from 1 species